rnacentral:tRNA from 1 species
UUUCGACUAACGGCGUGCUGGAUUUCCAAUCCAGAGGUCGUGAGUUCGAUUCUCAUACCGGAAU